UUGCCAUUAUUUGGGGGGGGGGGUGUCCCCAACCGCCCCUCCCCCACCCCUGUGACGUCAUUGGGGUCCCCAAGGUCCCAUUUUGGGGUCCCCAAAGCCCCUGGGGGGUCCCCAAGGUCCCAUUUGGGGUCCCCAAGGUCCCAAUUUGGGGUCCCCAAGGCCCCUGGGGGGUCCCCAAGGCCCCCGGGGGGUCCCCAAGGUCCCUGGGGGGUCCCCAAAGCCCCUGGGGGGUCCCCAAGGCCCCAUUUGGGUCCCCAAGGUCCCAUUUUGGGGUCCCCAAGGUCCCAUUUUGGGGGUCCCAUUUUGGGGGUCCCCGGUGUCCCCAGGCCGGGGACGCUCGCGGGGCCGUGAGGAGCACGAGGCCGAGGCGGGGCUGGGUCACAAAUGUCCCCAAAUGUCCCCAGAUGUCCCCAAAUGUCCCCAAAUUCCGUGUUCGGGCUCUCUCGGGGCUCCGUGAGGAACACGAGGCCGUGGUGGGGGACAGGGACGGGUCCUCGAUGUCCCCAAAUGUCCCCAAAUGUCCUCAGUGUCCUCUCAGGGGUCUCUCGGGGGUCGAUGAGGAGGGCGAGGCCGAAGCAGGGAUGGAUCCCAGAUGUCCCCAAUGUCCCCAGGGUCCCCUCAGUGUCCCCAGUGUCCCCUCAGGGGUCAAUGAGGAGCACGAGGCCGAGGUGGGGACGCGGACGGGUCCUCGAUGUCCCCAAGUGUCCCCAAAUGUCCCCUCAGGGGUCGCUCAGGAGUUGAUGAAGAUCACGAGGCCGUGGUGGGGAACAGGGACGGGUCCUCGAUGUCCCCAAAUGUCCCCAAAUGAGUCGAUGAGGAGGCUGAGGCCGAAGCAGGGCUGGAUCCCAGAUGUCCCCAAUGUCCCCCGAUGUCCCCUGAUGUCCCCGAUGUCCCCGGUGUCCCCUCAGGGGUCUCUCAGGGGUCGAUGAGGAGGCUGAGGCCGAAGCAGGGAUGGAUUCUCGGUGUCCCCCGAUUGUCCCCGAUGUCCCCUCAGGGGUCGAUGAGGAGGCUGAGGCCGAAGCAGGGCUGGGUCCCCGGUGUCCCCCGAUGUCCCCGAUGUCCCCUCAGGGGUCGAUGAGGAGGGCGAGGCCGAAGCAGGGCUGGGUCCCCGGUGUCCCCUCGGUGUCCCCGGUGUCCCCAGUGUCCCCUCAGGGGUCGAUGAGGAGGGCGAG